rnacentral:rRNA from 1 species
UGAAAGCGGGGGAUCGCAAGACCUCGCGCAAUUGGAGCGGCCGAUGUCAGAUUAGGUUGUUGGUGGGGUAAAAGCCUACCAAGCCGACGAUCUGUAGCUGGUCUGAGAGGACGACCAGCCACACUGGGACUGAGACACGGCCCAGACUCCUACGGGAGGCAGCAGUGGGGAAUUUUGGACAAUGGGCGCAAGCCUGAUCCAGCCAUGCCGCGUGCGGGAAGAAGGCCUUCGGGUUGUAAACCGCUUUUGUCAGGGAAGAAACGGUCCGGACUAAUACUCCGGACUAAUGACGGUACCUGAAGAAUAAGCACCGGCUAACUACGUGCCAGCAGCCGCGGUAAUACGUAGGGUGCAAGCGUUAAUCGGAAUUACUGGGCGUAAAGCGUGCGCAGGCGGCUUUGCAAGACAGAUGUGAAAUCCCCGGGCUUAACCUGGGAACUGCAUUUGUGACUGCAUGGCUAGAGUGCGGCAGAGGGGGAUGGAAUUCCGCGUGUAGCAGUGAAAUGCGUAGAUGUGCGGAGGAACACCGAUGGCGAAGGCAAUCCCCUGGGCCUGCACUGACGCUCAUGCACGAAAGCGUGGGGAGCAAACAGGAUUAAAUACCCUGGUAGUCCACGCCCUAAACGAUGUCAACUGGUUGUUGGACGGCUUGCUGUUCAGUAACGAAGCUAACGCGUGAAGUUGACCGCCUGGGGAGUAUGGCCGCAAGG